rnacentral:lncRNA from 1 species
AAAUGCUUUUUAGUGGGAUUUGAAUAAACAAAUUAAUAGUUACGAAAAUAUUAACCAUCCACAAGCUUUCAGUCCCAGCGCAUAUAGAAGGCGGCGAAUCUAGGGUUUUUGAAGAGACGAAAUGUCGAAAACGAAGGGUGGAUCUUGAGGUUCGUUACAGUGGGUUGUUUCUUUGUUUUUUUCUUUUUUUUUUAAGUGGGUGAAGAUUCGUGGUUUGUUUUACAGUGGAACCCAUCUGCAAUCUCUCUCUCUCUCUGUGUUAAAUUUCUUGGAUUGUUGUGAAUAAUCGGUUCCUUAUGUGAAGAAUCAGUCAAAUUUUAGAAUGUCCCCCUUGUCUUGAAACGAUUGUGGGUCUUUAUGUCUUCAUAAGAUUUUAUUAUGCUUUGAUUUUUUUAUGUGUGCGGUCCAAAUUUGGGUUUUUGAGUUUUGGGGGUAUAGUUUUCGAUUGAUUCCAGUAAUCGAUUUUUUUUCAUUUUGGAUUUAUGUGCGCAGGUUUAUCUUAAUCAUAGGUACUGUGCGAAUUUGGAUUUACUUGAAUAAAUGAGUUCAUGGGAUGUGUAGAUGAGUGUAGAUGAACAGAUUUGUAUAAGUUUAAAUCACUAUUAUUUGGUUACAAAUUGUAAGUUUACAGUUGUAGAAUAUAUUAUUAGGGAGAUGUGAUAAUAUAUUUUCAUAUAAAAUGUGGGGAAGACGAAGAAUGGGACUAGAGGUUCGUAACAGUGGAUUUUUGUUACGAAUUUAGUUCUAUUUGUUACGAUUCGUAUUGUCUACUUUUUUGUUUAUUUGUUGUGUAUUUUUUGAUUUGGAAAAUUUUAUUCGCAGCCAACAACAAAUCAAAGGGAAAAGAGAAACACGAAGAUUCGUAGCCUGUCUGAUUCGUAAUCUGAUUUACUUGCAUUCGUAAUGUGUUUUUUGGUGUCAUUUGGUUUCUAUUUGACAUAAAGUAGUCCUUCUAUGCUUACUGUCUGAUACAUAUUUUGAUAUAUUAAGAUUUGUAACUUGUCUAAUUUGUGUUCUGAUUUAUUGACAUUCGUAAUGAGAUUUUAGGUGUUAUUUGGUUGCUAAUUGACAUAAGGUAAACCUUUUAUGCUUACUGUUUGAUGCAUAAAAGUAGUCACUUUAUGCUUAAUGUCAAAUUUAAUUUUAGGUGUUAUUUGGUUGCUAUUUGACAUAAAGUAGUCCUUUAUGCUUACUAUCUAAUUUGUAAUAUGAUUUACUGAAAUUCGCAACCUGUCUGAUUCGUAGUUUGAUAUAUUGAGAUUUGUAAUUUGGUUCUACAUGUCAUUGACAUAUAUUCUAUAUGGAUAAGGUUCAUUGGGCAAAUUGCAAUGUGCGUAGGAAUUUUCCACUUUUUAGGAACUGGAGCAACAAGAAGCUUAGAGAUAGAGAGACAGUGGGAAUUAAUUCUGGUGGGUUUGGCGAUGGCGUGUUGAUGGAACCAAUUCCUUUACCCGAGGUCAGGAGACUGUCGCCAUUGGAAAAUUUGGCAAAGAUGGUGGAGGUUUUAUGUGAAGCAUAGAGAUGAUAUGUCGUGUUUUAUAAACUUUGUUGAUGCUGCACUACUUGAGGAUGAAUGUUUUAGGAAGAGUUUAGAUGAUUAGUUGGUGGAUAUUUUUAUGCCUUACGUUCAUACCUAUUUUGAGGAUGCAUCUAGAUGUUUUAUAUUAUAUUCCUACUGAAUAAAUGAAGGUUAUUUUAUUAUUGAUUGGGUAGUUGUGUGCAAUAGAUAUUCAAAUGGUGAAAAUUAUUCCAUAAUAUAG